UUGAUCUUACGCGGUUUGCUUGAGAAUUGCAGUCGGACGGGCUUCUCGGGCUUGCUCGAGAAGCUAGUGGCGGACGGCUGAGUAACGCGUAGGUGACCUGUCCCGAAGUGGGGAAUGACUGCCCGAAAGGGUGGCUAAUACCGCAUGUGAUCGCUCAUUCGAUUGAUCGAUCAAAGCAGAAAUGCGCUAUGGGAGGGGCCUGCGUCCGAUUAGCUCGUUGGUGGGGUAACGGCUCACCAAGGCGACGAUCGGUAGGUGGUCUGAGAGGACGAUCACCCAGACUGGGACUGAGACACGGCCAGACUCCUACGGGAGGCAGCAGUCGGGAAUUUUGCUCAAUGGGCGCAAGCCUGAAGCAGCAACGCCGCGUGAGGGAUGAAGGCCUUCGGGUUGUAAACCUCUUUUGUCAGGGACGAUUAUGACGGUACCUGGCGAAUAAGCCACGGCUAACUACGUGCCAGCAGCCGCGGUAAUACGUAGGUGGCAAGCGUUGUCCGGAUUUACUGGGCGUAAAGAGCGCGCAGGCGGUCGAAUAAGUCGAAUGUGAAAGCCCCCGGCUUAACUGGGGAGGGUCAUUCGAUACUGCUCGACUUGAAGGCAGGAGAGGGUAGUGGAAUUCCCGGUGUAGUGGUGAAAUGCGUAGAUAUCGGGAGGAACACCAGUGGCGAAGGCGACUACCUGGCCUGUUCUUGACGCUGAGGCGCGAAAGCUGGGGGAGCAAACGGGAUUAGAUACCCCGGUAGUCCCAGCCGUAAACGAUGGACACUAGGUGUUGGUGGUAUCAACCCCGCCAGUGCCGUAGCUAACGCAUUAAGUGUCCCGCCCUGGGGGAGUACGGGCCGGCAAGGCUAAAACCUCCAAAG
rnacentral:rRNA from 1 species